rnacentral:rRNA from 1 species
CACAGAGGGUGCAAGCGUUGUUCGGAAUUAUUGGGCGUAAAGGGCGCGUAGGCGGCUUUGCAAGUGACGGGUGAAAUCCCUCGGCUUAACCGAGGAACUGCCUGUCAAACUGCAUGGCUUGAGACCGGGAGAGGUGAGUGGAAUUCCCAGUGUAGCGGUGAAAUGCGUAGAUAUUGGGAGGAACACCAGUGGCGAAGGCGGCUCACUGGACCGGUACUGACGCUGAGGCGCGAAAGCGUGGGGAGCAAACAGG